UGGUAGGAUAGAGGCCUACCAUGGUGGUAACGGGUAACGGGGUGUUAGGGCACGACACCGGAGAGGGAGCCUGAGAAACGGCUACCACAUCCAAGGAUGGCAGCAGGCGCGCAAAUUACCCAAUCCCGACACGGGGAGGUAGUGACAAUAAAUAACAAUACGGGGUUCUUUCGGAUCUCGUAAUUGGAAUGAGUACAAUUUAAAUCUCUUAACGAGGAACAAUUGGAGGGCAAGUCUGGUGCCAGCAGCCGCGGUAAUUCCAGCUCCAAUAGCGUAUAUUAAAGUUGUUGCAGUUAAAAAGCUCGUAGUUGAAUUUCGGGGUUAGUAGGUUGGUCAUGCCUCUGGUAUGUACUGGUCUCACUGAUUCUUCCUUCCUGAUGAACCGUAAUGCCAUUAAUUUGGUGUUGCGGGGAAUUUGGACUGUUACUUUGAAAAAUUAGAGUGUUUAAAGCAAGCUAACGCUUGAAUACAUUAGCAUGGAAUAAUGAAAUAGGACGUUCGAUCCUAUUUUGUUGGUUUCUAGGAUUGACGUAAUGAUUAAUAGGGAUAGUUGGGGGCAUUAGUAUUCAAUUGUCAGAGGUGAAAUUCUUGGAUUUAUUGAAGACUAACUACUGCGAAAGCAUUUGCCAAGGAUGUUUUCAUUAAUCGAGAACGAAAGUUAGGGGAUCGAAGACGAUCAGAUACCGUCGUAGUCUUAACCAUAAACUAUGCCGACUAGGGAUCGGA
rnacentral:rRNA from 1 species